GGUAAACGGGUGGGGUCCGCGCAGUCGGCCCGGAGGAUUCAACCCGGCGGGCCAAGGUCGGCCGGCGCGGGCGCCGUCGGAUCCCCGCCUCCGCCUCCCCUCCGUCCCUCCCCUUCGCCGGGGCGGGGCGGGCCCAGGGGGGGCGGGCGGGCCGGGGACCGCCGCCCGGCCGGCGUCCGGCCCCCGUCGGGCGCAUUUCCUCCGCGGCGGUGCGCCGCGACCGGCUCCGGGACGGCUGGGAAGGGCUGCCGGCGGGCAGGUGGCCCGGCGCCGCGCGAGCGGCCGCCGGGUGUUAUAGCCGCCGGGCCCGGAUCGUCGCCGAAUCCCGGGGCCGAGGGAGAGGACCGCCGCCGCGCCCUCCCCCGGAGGGGGCGGCCCCCCGGAGGGCCCCCGCGGGGGGCGCCGGGGGGGAACCUUCCCCCUUCUGUUCGGGCCGCCUCCGUUCCCGCGGGGGCGGCCCGUUCGGGGGACGGGCCCGCCGGCCCCCGGCGCCGCUGUCCGACCGGGGCGGACUGCGCUCAGUGCGCCCCGACCGCGCGGCGCCGCCGGGCCGGGCUCGGGCCACGCCAGGGCGCCCGGGGUCCGCGGCGACGUCGGCUACCCACCCGACCCGUCUUGAAACACGGACCAAGGAGUCUAGCACGCGCGCGAGUCGGCGGCUCGCGCGAAAGCCCGCG
rnacentral:lncRNA from 1 species